rnacentral:rRNA from 1 species
UACAGAGGGGGCAAGCGUUGUUCGGAAUUACUGGGCGUAAAGGGCGCGUAGGCGGCCUGUUAAGUCGAACGUGAAAUCCCCGGGCUCAACCCGGGAACUGCGUCCGAUACUGGCAGGCUUGAAUUCGGGAGAGGGAUGCGGAAUUCCAGGUGUAGCGGUGAAAUGCGUAGAUAUCUGGAGGAACACCGGUGGCGAAGGCGGCAUCCUGGACCGAGAUUGACGCUGAUGCGCGAAAGCGUGGGGAGCGAACAGG